rnacentral:misc_RNA from 1 species
GAUGAAGAACGUAGCGAAAUGCGAUAAGUAAUGUGAAUUGCAGAAUUCAGUGAAUCAUCGAAUCUUUGAACGCACAUUGCGCCCGCUGGUAUUCCGGCGGGCAUGCCUGUUCGAGCGUCAUUUCAACCCUCAAGCCCCCGGGUUUGGUGUUGGGGAUCGGCUCUGCCCUUCUGGGCGGUGCCGCCCCCGAAAUACAUUGGCGGUCUCGCUGCAGCCUCCAUUGCGUAGUAGCUAACACCUCGCAACUGGAACGCGGCGCGGUCAUGCCGUAAAACCCCAACUUCUGAAUGUUGACCUCGAAUCAGGUAGGAAUACCCGCUGAACUUAAGCAUAUCAAUAAGCGGAGGA